GUGCUGCCGCUUUCUGAUGAACUUGGUUGAAAUCUUUGUCAUGAAGAAAGCGUUGAAGGUUGUGAGUUUCUACUGUGUUGUUCCCCUGUUUAUGCUCUUCAUUAUGAUACUAGUUUUGCCAAGGCUGAAGAUGUUCUAUGUUGAAUCACUGCUCAUAUUCCUCAUGGGUAACUUGUCUUCCCUCCAGGCACAGGAUUUUUCAGUUGGAAAUUGGUUAAUGAAUUUAUCAUUGAAGCACUGUCAAUAUUGUGUGCUUAUUUUCUAAGAAAGCUUGUUCUUGAGCUCUUGGUUCUUCCAAUACACUUAUUCAAAUUGGGAUAACUGUUUUUCAGUUUCUUACGGUUGUAUUUUUUCUCGUGGCUGUUUAACCACUCGAGAGUUGCUUGGGAUUAUGAUAUUUUUUCACGGCAUACAGGUUAAAACAGUUAUGAAUCUGUUUGAGAUAUGCAUAACUGCAUGUAUAUACCCUUGUGAAAAACAAGUAUAUAUAGAUGCAGUGUGUGCAUAGUAAAAGGCGUGAGAGAUUGUAAAAGAAAACAUUAUCAGUUGUAUUGAGAUCUCAGAGGAUAUAUGGAAACAUUGAAUAUCAGUUCUAUUGUGUUGUAAUAAAGGUUCAUAAAAUAUAGUUGCAAAUCAGGUUGCGAAUAUAUAUUGUGAAUCCACUAGAAAAUCAUUGGAAAGAAUAGGGGUUGUAGCUCCUUGCAGUUGUAGCUGCAGAACAUUGUAAGAGUCGAAGCUCUUUGUGAAUCAAUAAGAGGUACUUUUUGGA